UAAAAUAUGUUUUUUUUUAAUUUGCUUUGUACUUAAAAAAUAUGCCCUUUGUGCCAUUUAAUUAAAGGAAAAAGAACAAUCAUGAAUGCUCAGUACUGUAGCAGAUACUAAAUGGCUGUCUUAGUUCUUCAGCCCAAUAUGGUAUUUUCAGAUUACAUCUGCAGAAACAACUCAGAAUGAAAUGCAUCUCUGCUGUUGUAUUAUAUUUCUGUACCACUGCUGCAGUGUGAACAUACUUUCCCACCCUCACUAGAGAAGGAGCUCUGAGACGGUGCGAUGCCAGCUGGUGUGCUCCGUGCCCACUGACACGACUGAAGGAACUGCUGGUGAAAACAAUUUGACUGCACACGAAGAAAAGAAAAAUGAAAGACAAAUCACUGGUGGGCUGGAUGGAGUGGAAAGAGAACAGCUUAGAAGAUGUCUUGGCUUUCAGAACAACCUGGAAUUGAGGAAAUUUCCUUUGAAGCCUUUGAAGCACUGUAAGUAAGUAAGAAAGAAAAGAUAAAUCCUCUGUUCUCCUCCCCUGUAGAGAUACGUAAGU
rnacentral:lncRNA from 1 species